UAUCCGGAUUUAUUGGGUUUAAAGGGAGACGUAGGACGGGUGACUUAAGUCAGUUGUGAAAGUUUGCGGCUCAACCGUAAAAUUGCAGUUGAUACUGGGUACCUUGAGUGCAGCAUAGGUAGGCGGAAUUCGUGGUGUAGCGGUGAAAUGCUUAGAUAUCACGAAGAACUCCGAUUGCGAAGGCAGCUUACUGGACUGUAACUGACGCUGAUGCUCGAAAGUGUGGGUAUCAAACAGGAUUAGAUACCCUGGUAGUCCACACAGUAAACGAUGAAUACUCGCUGUUGGCGAUACACAGUCAGCGGCCAAGCGAAAGCAUUAAGUAUUCCACCUGGGGAGUACGCCGGCAACGGUGA
rnacentral:rRNA from 1 species